UUUUCUCCCGGCCGACGGAGCUGAAGGGGCGGGGGUUCCUUCCUUGGAGUGUUUCUAGAGCUCGGAGGCUGCUGGUAGGGGGGCACCACUUUCAGAUAAAAACAUAGACCUGAAUGGCAUCAUCCAGUAUCCAAGGAAACCAUGUUCUCUAAACAUGAAUAUGCCUUUGGGGGAAGACAGAAGAACAUGGAAGCCAUGUGAAAAAAACGGAUCCUAAGGCAGUUUUGAACAUCUGGAGGCCUGAUUUAUUGGAGAUUGCAAAUGUACAGUGUAACAUAGCUGUGGAGAGCGAGAAGAUCAGGAUUGUCAAUGCUGUCAUUGCUUUUACUGGAAUCCCCAGCACGAAUUGAAGGUCUCACUUUGCCACCUAGGCUGGAUGCAAUGCAACGGUAUGUUGAUCUUGGUUCACUGCAGCCUCAACCUCCUGAGCUCAUGUGAUCCUCCCACCUCAGUCCCCCACGUCGCUUGGAUUACAGGCCUGUGCCACCACACCUGGCUAACUUUUUUUGUAAUUUUUGUAGAGACAGGGUCUCACUAUGUUUCCCAUGCUGGUCUUUAAUGCCUGAGCUCAAGCCAUCCGCCUGCCUCGGCCUCCCAAAUUGCUGGGAUUACAGGCAUGAGCCACCAUGCCCAGCCUAAUUCUUCUAAAUCUUAUCCUAGUAAUUAAGCCAGAAUUUUUCUCUGCCAAGACCAAUAGAUGGACCAAGAAGUACUCAUCCUUGUAAACUUUCUUUGGAUAAAUUGCUUACAUAUAAUAAAUUCAGAGUUAAGUAAUAAAAAUAA
rnacentral:lncRNA from 1 species